rnacentral:rRNA from 1 species
UACGAAGGUGGCAAGCGUUACUCGGAAUUACUAGGCGUAAAGGGCAGGUAGGUGGUUUGGAUAAGUCUGUUGUGAAAGCUCCCGGCUCAACUGGGAGAGGCCAACGGAUACUAUCAGGCUUGAGUAUAGGAGAGGUUACUGGAAUUCCCGGUGUAGCGGUGAAAUGCGCCGAGAUCGGGAGGAACACCAAUGGCGAAAGCAGGUAACUGGACUAUUACUGACACUCAACUGCGAAAGCUAAGGGGAGC